GUGGGGAAUCUUGCGCAAUGGGCGAAAGCCUGACGCAGCCAUGCCGCGUGAAUGAUGAAGGUCUUAGGAUUGUAAAAUUCUUUCACCGGGGACGAUAAUGACGGUACCCGGAGAAGAAGCUCCGGCUAACUUCGUGCCAGCAGCCGCGGUAAUACGAAGGGGGCUAGCGUUGCUCGGAAUUACUGGGCGUAAAGGGCGCGUAGGCGGACAGCUUAGUCAGAGGUGAAAGCCCAGGGCUCAACCUUGGAAUUGCCUUUGAUACUGGCUGUCUUGAGUUUGGGAGAGGUGAGUGGAACUCCGAGUGUAGAGGUGAAAUUCGUAGAUAUUGACAGGAACACCAGUGGCGCAAGCGGCUAUCUGGACCGAUAUUGACGCUGAGGCACGAAAGCGUGGGGAGCAAACAGGAUUAGAAACCCGAGUAGUCC
rnacentral:rRNA from 1 species